CAUCAGCCUCUGAACCUCUGUACUUGGGGCAGUGGAGGCCAACUCCCCAGCUCCCUGAUCCUCUAGGAAGUUCCAGGUCCUCACAAUAAGGAUGCUGUGGCAGGGGUUUUAACUUACUUUAUGUCCUUCCUUUGAAGGACAAGAGAAGCAGAUGCAGGGGCUCCUGGGGUGGGGCUGGCAGGAUUUGGGGAGCCUGUGCAGCCCAGCAACUCUAGAAAGCUGGACGGCUAUUGGGCGUAGACUUCAUCUCCCUUACCUGGUGCUGUCCUCUGGGGCUAGGUGUUCCUGUGCCUCUCCUCCUUUGGUGACCUUUGAGCCCCUGGCUUGGGGGAGGGACCCCCUACAGAACCCCUUGGGAGAACUGGGAGGAGACAGGCAUGGGAUCCCACCAUCAGGAAUCGUAGGCGCCAUGGCAGGAAGUCCCAGCUGAAGAAAGGCACGGGCAGGGUUGGGCCAAGCGGGUCUGGUCCAGGUGUCCCUGGGAAAACAGUGGGGAAGCAACAUCAUCGCUGAGUGCCGGGUUGACCCCUGCGCCUGCAUGGGGCAGGGACACUUUGGCCUUCACUGAUGGGGUGGCUGAGGCAGGGGAACAGGAAGUCAUAGGAAAGUCGAGGACCAGAGUGGAGCCAGGCCCAGCCCUCUGCCCCCUGGUGGAGCAGAGAACCUCAUGUGGUGCCAGCAGAUAAGGGGGCCUUGGGUUAUCUGGUGCCUGCUGGUGGGAGAGGGAGGUGGGGAGGCCCGGAGCUUGGCUUGUCACACCAGGAAGGGCUGCAUCCGUCACUUGUCAUCCUGCCAGUCAGCUUGCAGGACUUGGUAGACCCAGAGGAUUGGGGAGGUCGGAGCCAGCCAGGCCCAGGCCCUUGGCACACAGCAGCUCUGCUCCUGGUCCACAGCAGGUGACUGAACGGCUUCUUCAAGUCAGUCAUAGCCCAGGACAAGCCUCGUACGCUGCGACACAGCACGUUGAUUUGUCGGUCCAUUUCACAAAUGUCAGUACUCUCCCCCACUACAUUUGGUGUGACCAAGUGCCCAGCAGUGUUCCUGGAGCCCUGGACCCCAAAUCAUUGAGAGUUCAGGGACCAAACCAGGGCCAGUGACACAUGCCUGUAAUUCCAGCAACUGCGGAGGCUGAGGUGAGAUGGAAAGUUCCAGGCUAGCCUGGGCAACUUACUGAGACCCUGUCUCAAAAUAAAAAUGAGAACGGGGGAGUGGCUCAGCGGUGGAGUACCCCUGAGUUCAAUCCCUAAUGGUACAAAAACAAAACAAAAUCUUUUAUUAAAGGUACCAGCCCUGCGACACACACAUGGUACAUGUUUUUCUUUUGAAGGUGCUAUGGUUAUUUUGGCUGUAAAAUUUUUAAAUUUCAUGUAGACAGAUUUAUCAUCUCUGCGACUCUGGGGUCUUGUUUUUGUGGUGCUGGACAAGCACUGCCACACCCAAGGGGAGCUACAGCCCACAGCUUUACUUCUUGAGACGUGGCUUUGCCAAGUUGUCCAGGCUGGCUUUGAACUUACAAUCCUCCUGCCUUAGCCUCCCGAGUCACUGGAAUUACAGGUAUGUACUGCCACACCUGCCUACAGUUUUUAUUUUGUACUGCGGGUUUAAGCCAGGGGCACUUUACCACUGAGCUACAUUCCCAACUCUUUUUAAAAAUUCUUAUUUAGACAGGACCUCAUUAAAUUGCCAAGGGUCUUGCUAAAUUACUGAGGCUGGCCUCAAACUUGUGAUCCUCCUGUCUCAGCCUCCUGAGCCCCUGGGAUUACAGGCAUGUGCCAACUGUAAAGAUUUUAAAGAAGUCUUUGGUGUUUAUUGUCAUAUUUGACUCAACUAGCAUUGACAUAGUAUAAAGAGGUAAUGUUAGAAAUAGCUGAAUUUUUUUAAAAAUGCAAAUUUUAUUUAUUUUUGGAAUAAAUAACAUAUUUACAUGGCUCAUAAUUCAAAAGAUAUAAAAAGGUAUAAGCUCACAAGCAACCACUGUACCAAUUCCUGUCCCCAUACAGAGCCUGUUUCUUUCUUCCUCAGCUUUGCCAGAAGCCUGGAGAAGCACCAUGCACUUUGGCGAUGCUGCUCCCGCCCUCCCUCCUCCUCUCCUGAGAGCCAGUGGUACCCGUGCCUGGGGAGUUUCAGAUACAAACCAAGUGGUGGCCCAUACCAGCUGGGAACCCCGCCUCUACCGCACAUCUCCGAGGACCUGGACACAUGAUGCUGCAGGCCCUCCUGGGGCUCUAGUCACCCCUCUGCGGUUCUCAGCGCUCCCUGCCUUCGAGGCUGUGAGACCCUAACAGCACACCUGGCCAUCAGGGGGUGUUGUGGGCACUUUGGUUAUUUUGAGGAUCCUGACUGAAAAUGAGCUACACCUGCACAUUUUGUUUCUGCUCUGGAGUAUGAAACAUGGCUCCCUUUAUUCCAGUUUUCUUUGA